GACGUAGGGCGCGAGCGUUGUCCGGAUUCAUUGGGCGUAAAGAGCUCGUAGGCGGCCUGUCGCGUCGGCUGUGAAAACUCGGGGCUCAACUCCGAGCUUGCAGUCGAUACGGGCAGGCUAGAGUUCGGCAGGGGAGACUGGAAUUCCUGGUGUAGCGGUGAAAUGCGCAGAUAUCAGGAGGAACACCGGUGGCGAAGGCGGGUCUCUGGGCCGAUACUGACACUGAGGAGCGAAAGCGUGGGGAGCGAACAGG
rnacentral:rRNA from 1 species